UUCAUGGGCAGGGAUCUUCCAUUGGUCUCCACAGCUGUGCUUUUUGUUCUGGGGGCGGCAGAAUCCUUCUCAGGUGGCUGAGGCAAAAGCAAGCAGCUGCAGCCCUUCCUGGCUUCUGUGUCCUUCCUUGCUCAUCACCUUUGUCAUCUAGACACUGGUGUUUCUGGGCCACACGUGGACUGAUGUUCAUCUGCAAAAUUUUAGAAGGCCAAGGGAUCCGGGGGGUGAC
rnacentral:lncRNA from 11 species